rnacentral:rRNA from 1 species
UACGUAGGGUGCGAGCGUUAAUCGGAAUUACUGGGCGUAAAGCGUGCGCAGGCGGUUCGUUGUGUCCGUCGUGAAAGCCCCGGGCUUAACCUGGGAACUGCGAUGGAAACUAGCGAGCUGGAGUGUGGCAGAGGGGGGUGGAAUUCCGCGUGUAGCAGUGAAAUGCGUAGAUAUCGAGAGGAACACCUGCGGCGAAGGCGGGUUGCUGGGCCGACACUGACGCUGAUGCGCGAAAGCCAGGGGAGCGAACGGG